CUUGCGCCUAGCCAAGCUCCGUGCGCGCGCGCCCAUCUCCCUCCUCAUCUCCCCCGCGCGCGCCUGGCUAGCCCUAGUGCUCGGCCUCUAGCCCACCCGCGUGCCCGCGUGCUCCUCCCUGCUGCCGCGUCCAUGGCGCCCAGCUCGGAUCUCACCCAAGUCGCCACUGUCGCUCCGCUCGGCGCCUUCCCUGCUCCCCAAGUCUCGUGCCUUGCCGAGCUCGCCCUCCACUCGGCUCAUGGCGCUCGGCCUCCAGCUCGGCCCUACCCUCUGCUCGGCGCCCGGGCCGCUCCUCUCCCUUCCCCGCGAGCUCCUCCCUGUUUCCAAGUCGUAGCGCGUCCCUGGCACCAGCUUGGAGCUCGCCCGGCCGCGUCCUUGACCUUGCUCCCUGUUGCGCUCGCUGGCCGACUGCUCGACCCGAGCAGCGGCUCGUCCCCGACACCUAGUCUCCGCACCGCGGUUCCCCCAGCUCCAGCUCGGUUUCGACCAGAGUAGCUGGUUGCCUGGUUUGUGUCGUGUGUGCCUGGGCACUACCCUAGUUGGUCGCCUCAGUGUGAAUUCGUCGUCGCGUCCAGGAUUUCGGCAUGUCUCCCUGCUCGCCGUCAGCCCAAGCGCCACAUCAGACUUACCCUGUAUGAUGUUCACCAAGUGCUCGACAAAAAGCUCGAACGAGUCGUACAGCCAUUGUCUUCGUCGAAUGGAAAUCGUCGCGCUGGCACGUCGAUGUCGUCGAUCGCCAUCCUCGUCUACGCCAAGUCCCAAGCCGUGAAGACGCUCUUGUGCUGGCCACGUGUCACCAGCUCGACAAAAUGAAUCCCAUGGGUAUCUGGUCAAGAAUAGGAAUUGUGUGCAUCGCUCGCCAGACGUGUCUGAUCAAAGAUGUCAACCGGAAACCGUCGUCAUGCUUCCGACUAUCGUGUCGGAUUAGUCAGGGUACGCUAGCUAAUCACGUGAUGAGGAGGACAAGAGCCAAGCUAACCUCAAGAUGGUGCAAGGAGUGGUCUUCUCCGUACGACGAUGUCGUCAGUCGGACCAACCUGAAGAUGGUUAAAUCAAGAAAGUGCUCGGUCGAGGGAUAAUCGUCAAGCAGACAUCUUCUAACAAACACUAACCUAGUGUUAUUUCAGGCAAGCCCUGAUGCAUUAUCCCUUUCCUUGGUUUUUAAAAUCUUUAUCACCUUGUUUGAUGCAUUAGGUGAUAGGAGUUGUGUGCCAAAUAAUUGUAGCAAUUCUUUCCUUGGAAAAUUGAUUACCAUCCAUUGAUUCCCUUUUAUAAAAAUGAUUUUUAUG